GCUGGGCAUGGUGGCGCGUGCCUGUAAUCCCAGCUACUCAGGAGGCUGAGGCGGGAGAAUUGCUUGAACCCAGGAGGCGGAGGUUGCAGUGAGCCAAGAUCGCGCCAUUGCACUCCAGCCUGGGUAACAAGAGCGAAACUCCGUCUCAA
ensembl:misc_RNA Metazoa_SRP Metazoan signal recognition particle RNA